rnacentral:rRNA from 1 species
GGACGAACGCUGGCGGCGUGCCUAACACAUGCAAGUCGAACGAGCGCAAGGAGCUUGCUCCUGUUGCGAGUGGCGGACGGGUGAGUAACGCGUGAGGAACCUGCCCUUGAGAGGGGGAUAACGUCCGGAAACGGACGCUAAUACCGCAUAACAUGUUCAAAUCGCAUGGUUUGAACAUCAAAGGAGCAAUCCGCUGAAGGAUGGCCUCGCGUCUGAUUAGAUAGUUGGUGAGGUAACGGCUCACCAAGUCGACGAUCAGUAGCCGGACUGAGAGGUUGAUCGGCCACAUUGGGACUGAGACACGGCCCAGACUCCUACGGGAGGCAGCAGUGAGGGAUAUUGCACAAUGGGGGAAACCCUGAUGCAGCAACGCCGCGUGAAGGAAGACGGUUUUCGGAUUGUAAACUUCUGUUUUGGGUGACGAUAAUGACGGUAGCCCGAUAGAAAGCCACGGCUAACUACGUGCCAGCAGCAGC